GGAGAAUCAAGCAGCUUGAAAGUAUGAGUAAUUUUUUUUUCAAAUCAUCUGAAGUAAUAAGCGAUUUGUGUUGGGUAGCACGCGAUGCUCCUGCUUUGGUCAUCACUUUCAUCAUUCCAUCAAGAGUAUGGUUAGCAGAUUUAAACUCUUUAUCCCUAACAAUAUCUAUGUUUCGACCCAGGUCCUACAGGUGACGAUUUAAUGCUGACCGCAAUUUUUUUAAUGUGUUCUUGUGAUAAUGUUCCGCUUGAACAUGUAAAUGUUUCUCCUUUCGUGAAGAAGUUUUCUUCGGUUUGGCCUCACAGUAGAACUUACGCAAAAAAAUUGCAAGAAUAUCAGAAGGGACGGUUUCAAACUCCAAGGGCUCAUUGUAAACCUCUGUAUACCAAUAUGAAAUUAAAGAUAUCCUUCAAACAG
rnacentral:sRNA from 1 species